rnacentral:tRNA from 1 species
GGGGAUUUAGCUCAGUGGUAGAGCGCUUGCCUAGCAAGCACAAGGUCCUGGGUUCAGUCCCCU